rnacentral:tRNA from 1 species
CAAGUUAUAUUCUAGGAAUAAUAUUAUUUACAAUAAUGUUUUGGUUCGUGCAAUUCGGCCUAGCUUGA